CACGCCGUAAACGAUGAAUACUAGGUGUGGGGGGUCUGACCCCCUCCGUGCCGGAGUUAACACAAUAAGUAUUCCACCUGGGGAGUACGAUCGCAAGGUUGAAACUCAAAGGAAUUGACGGGGGCCCGCACAAGCAGUGGAUUAUGUGGUUUAAUUCGAUGCAACGCGAAGAACCUUACCAGGGCUUGACAUCCUACUAACGAAGCAGAGAUGCAUUAGGUGCCCUUCGGGGAAAGUAGAGACAGGUGG
rnacentral:rRNA from 1 species